rnacentral:lncRNA from 1 species
CAGGCAUCAGGCUCAGGGACAGCGCAGAGACAGCUGCCUUCUCCUCUUUCCCGGAGGCACCUGAGACCUGAGCGCACCGAGGGGGCCGGUGCAUGGGCUGCUCCCAGUGAGCGUGAAGUUCACGCCCAGAAGUACACCCGCCACCAGCUGCAGCAGCACAGGGCAGAAGAAGAAAAGCCAUGUGAGGACACAGUAAGAAGGCGGACGUCUGUAGGCCAGGAAGAGAGUCCUCACCAGGACCCAACCAUGCUGGCACCCUGGUCCUGGACUUCUGGCCUCCAGAACUGUGAGAAAUAAAUUUCAGUUGUUGAAGCCAUCUGUGGUAUUUUGUUAUGGCAGCUGGAGCAGACUCAGACAAUCUUUAAAUACACAUACUUUCAGCAGUAGCUGGCAUGUCUGACCUGGCAAGAUGAACUGAUUGCACACUUAGGUAAACUGACUACUCAUCCCAGCAAAGCCCCUAACCCUGUAACCACCCACUGAACUGACCAGACUGGUGGCUUAGCCCAGCCUUGGACAGGCAGAACUUCAGCCUUGGACACAGUCCCUGUCAUCCUAAAGGAGCCUCCUUAAGGAGCACUUGUAGGACCAGAGAGAGUCAGAGUUAAUAGCAAUGAUAGUAACUUCAAUACUUUAUGUGGAGCAGCUGUGUACAAUGAGCUAGGGCUGGGACCAAGCAUUUUAUAUUCAUCAUCUUGUUUAAUCUGUGUUGUUACCUUGUGAAGAAGGUAGGAUUAUCUCGAUUUCACAGAAGAGGAAACUAGAGAUGAGAUUCCCUGUCCAAGUUUACACUGCAAGUACCAGAUGGACCAAGCUUCCAACCCUCCUCUCUCUGACUUUAAACCUUAUGCAU